rnacentral:rRNA from 1 species
GGGUUUACCCAUUGGUCAGGCUUAAUUGUCUGUACUGGUGAGAUGAAUCUCUACCUUCUGAGGAACUUUCAUGCCAUUUAUUUGGUGUGAUGGGAAAUCAGGACUGUUACUUUGAAAAAAUUAGAGUGUUUAAAGCAGACUAUUGUCUGAAUACAUUAGCAUGGAAUAAUGAAAUAGGACGGACUGAUUCUAUUUCGUUGGUUUCUAGGAUCACCGUAAUGAUUAAUAGGGAUAGUUGGG